CAGUGUAGAGGGUGGUGAGGAUGCUGUGCCCUCUCAAGUAUCUCACCCUCUCUGGCUGUC
ensembl:miRNA mdo-mir-7398x mdo-mir-7398x